rnacentral:lncRNA from 1 species
CACGGUAUAACAACUCUGAUGCUCGCUGAAUUCACAAACUAAUUCAUAAUUCGUUUUAUAAAAUGAAACGUAAUUUCUGGUCAAAUUAAACGUAUUUGCAGUUUUUCAUAUCUGUACUGCUUAAUGUUAUGGAAAAAGAGAAAUUUGCAUAUGUGGGUGUAUUUGUGAGGUGUAUUUUGCAAUUAGUCAUCGAUCAUGGACCACAUCGAUAAUAGAUAAAUUUCGGCAUCGUCAUUCGACCGCAUUUCCAGGAAAGGAAAGCUGUAUCCUCUAGUCCAGUAACCCAACAGUCAGGUAUCGGCUUCUUCCAGAAUCACCGGCAUGCGUCAAGAGUGACACUCCACAAUUAACCAUUGUGGGAUGAUCACCAAUCCUUGUAUCACUUCAGGAACAUCGCAUCGUGGGAAAACACUUUUGUCAACAACGAGGGACCAUUUCUAAUGGGUGCGAAUAGCUCCCAACAGUAAUGGCCUACUAAUAACUGAAACUGUCUCCCAAGGCACAACAGUCCCUUCCAACGUCAAGAAUCAUCAUUCAUAGGCAAGACUUAUCCCUUCGCGAACAGGAACACCUUCAGUUUCUGGCUGUCGAAUGGUGGCAGUAACCAUUUGGAAAGUAUCCGAUUCUGCGAAACAUGGUCCCGGGGGUAAUCGGUCUAUUCCAGGAUCGCCUACAUAUGUCAAGAGAGGUUUAAGCUUGUAAUUACU